rnacentral:rRNA from 1 species
AUUGAACGCUGGCGGAAUGCUUUACACAUGCAAGUCGAACGGCAGCACGGACUUCGGUCUGGUGGCGAGUGGCGAACGGGCGAGUAAUGUAUCGGAACGUGCCCAGUCGUGGGGGAUAACGUAGUGAAAAUUACGCUAAUACCGCAUACGAUCUAUGGAUGAAAGCGGGGGAUCGCAAGACCUCGCGCGUUUGGAGCGGCCGAUAUCAGAUUAGGUAGUUGGUGGGGUAAAGGCCCACCAAGCCAACGAUCUGUAGCUGGUCUGAGAGGACGACCAGCCACACUGGAACUGCGACACGGUCCAGAGUCCUACGGGAGGCAGCAGUGGGGAAUUUUGGACAAUGGGCGAAAGCCUGAUCCAGCCAUUCCGCGUGCAGGAUGAAGGCCCUCGGGUUGUAAACUGCUUUUGUACAGAACGAAAAGGUUUCUACUAAUACUAGGAGCUCAUGACGGUACUGUAAGAAUAAGCACCGGCUAACUACGUGCCAGCCGCCGCCGUAA